GAGCAACACAAGAAGUUAAUAGAGGGCUAUCGCGGUGGGGAGAGGGAGAGAGUGCGCGCCUUUUCUAUGCGUGGAAUUUCGUUAAUGCUCUUCAAUCUCUAUGUUUCUGGUUCUAAUGGUUGAUUAAUUGGAAGCUGUAACGGUUUCAAAUGGAGAUCGUUGCAGGUUGUUGAUUUUGUUGUUCGGAUUCUAAGGAUCGGAUCAGUUGUGUUUCCGGGGAUUUCUAUUGUCAAAUAGAUUUAGAGCAGAAUGAACGAUGCCGGCAGUGCGGAGGCUGCUGCGGUAGCUUCGGUUGGGGCGCCGCAGCCGUUGGAGUGGAAAUUUGCUCAGGUGUUUGGGGAACGUGCGGCCGGUGAAGAAGUCCAGGAAGUUGAUAUCAUAUCUGCUAUUGAAUUUGAUAGAACUGGCAAUCACCUUGCUACUGGAGAUCGUGGUGGUCGGGUGGUUUUAUUUGAAAGAACUGACACAAGAGUUAAUGAUGGAAAUCGGAGAGAUCUAGAGAGGAUGGAUUUUUCAAUCAAUGGGCAUCCUGAGUUCCGGUACAAAACAGAGUUUCAGAGUCAUGAACCUGAGUUUGAUUAUCUAAGGAGCUUGGAAAUUGAGGAGAAA
rnacentral:misc_RNA from 1 species